rnacentral:misc_RNA from 1 species
GGCCUCAAUUUAGAAUUAGCAACUUUCAGGGUGAUUUAGAAUGCUGAAAGCGUGUUAAUAUUCCGUUAGUGGCAUUCACAAACAUGUGCUUGGAGACUUGCAUAUUAUACUCGAGGAGAUGAAGCAACUGUUUGGCUUUUUAUUUGUGCAGCUACUAAAUGGCAAAUUCUGUUCAUAUUCUUGUUGUAGAAGACCAAAUUUCUGAGCUUAAUUGAUCCUAGUUGCAAAAGAUACUAUCAAAUUUGUGAAGCUUCCAUUAUAGUUGUACGGCAAAAUCAGCUUCCAUUUCCUGCUGCUUUUUUUUUUUCUUUCUUUU